ensembl:snoRNA Gm25261 small nucleolar RNA SNORA17
CCUGCCCCCCCCCCCCCCCCCCCGGGCACUGCAGGUGUGGCUGCUGUGUCCCAUGUGUGUCAGCAGGUGGCAGAGGGGAGAGAGACAAUGUCUAGGCUCAGUGUAAACCCGACCUGCAAACACCCGAAUGACCAGUAGCCUAACAUU